rnacentral:rRNA from 1 species
GAUGAACGCUAGCGGCAGGCCUAAUACAUGCAAGUCGAACGGUGUAGCAAUACACAGUGGCGCACGGGUGCGUAACACGUAUGCAACCUACCUUACAUUGGGGGAUAGCCUUUCGAAAGGGAGAUUAAUACCGCAUAAGACAGUAACAUGGCAUCAUGUAGCCGUUAAAGACUUAUCGAUGUAAGCUGGGCAUGCGUCCAAUUAGUUAGUUGGUGAGGUAAUGGCUCACCAAGACGAUGAUUGGUAGGGGAACUGAGAGGUCAAUCCCCCACACUGGCACUGAGAUACGGGCCAGACUCCUACGGGAGGCAGCAGUAGGGAAUAUUGGGCAAUGGACGCAAGUCUGACCCAGCCAUGCCGCGUGCAGGAAGAAGGCGUUCUGCGUUGUAAACUGCUUUUAUAUAGGAAGAAACGACCCUUGCGAGGGGCAUUGACGGUAUUAUAUGAAUAAGCACCGGCUAACUCCGUGCCAGCCGCCGCCGUAAUAC